UUAAAGAUACUUCCGUCCAGUCGACAGGCCGAGCGUGAAGCGGCGUCAACCGUGAUCCGUCGCAGCCAACGAGGGCGGCUCUGUGAGAACCACAGGGUGGUGAGAUUCCAAUGA
ncrna:unclassified sequences pemK RNA